rnacentral:rRNA from 1 species
CGACUUCCAUGUGCGAAGCGCGAUGAGGGGUCCCAAGUGCUUGCACUUAAGUGUAAGCUGUUUCUUUGUUUAAAAAGCAGAGAGAGGAGGGGCUGGGUAAGACGGGUGCCAGCCGCCGCGGUAAUACCUGCAGCUCAAGUGGUGACCGCUAUUAUUGGGCCUAAAACGUUCGUAGCCGGCUAAGUAAAUGCUUGGGUAAAUCGUGCCGCUUAACGGUACGAAUUCCGGGUAGACUGCUUAGCUUGAGACCGGGAGAAGCUAGAGGUACUCCUGGGGUAGGGGUGAAAUCCUGUAAUCCUGGGGGGACCACCAGUGGCGAAGGCGUCUAGCUAGAACGGGUCUGACGGUGAGGGACGAAACCCUGGGGCGCAAACCGGAUUAGAUACCCGGGUAGUCCAGGGCGCAAACGCUGCUUGCUUGAUGUUAGCUGGGCUCCGAGCUCAGCUAGUGUCGGAGAGAAGUUGUUAAGCAAGCUGCCUGGGAAGUACGAUCGCAAGAUUGAAACUUAAAGGAAUUGGCGGGGGAGCACAAGCCGAUC